GGUGAACGCUGGCGGCGUGCUUAAGACAUGCAAGUCGAACGGCAGUCUUCGGACUGUAGUGGCGCACGGGUGAGUAACGCGUAACUGACCUACCCCAAAGUCGCGGAUAACGAUCCGAAAGAAUCGCUAAUACGUGAUGUGCUGUCAGAUUGUGUUCUGCCAGUAAAGAUUGAUUGCUUUGGGAUGGGGUUGCGUUCCAUCAGCUAGUUGGUGGGGUAAAGGCCCACCAAGGCGACGACGGAUAGCCGGCCUGAGAGGGUGGCCGGCCACAGGGGCACUGAGACACGGGUCCCACUUCUACGGGAGGCAGCAGUUAGGAAUCUUCCACAAUGGGCGAAAGCCUGAUGGAGCGACGCCGCGUGAGGGAUGAAGGUCUUCGGAUCGUAAACCUCUGAAUCAGGGACGAAAGACACUUCGGUGGGAUGACGGUACCUGAGUAAUAGCACCGGCUAACUCCGUGCCAGCAGCCGCCGCAGUAA
rnacentral:rRNA from 1 species